rnacentral:rRNA from 1 species
UACAGAGGAUGCAAGCGUUAUCCGGAAUGAUUGGGCGUAAAGCGUCUGUAGGUGGCUUUUUAAGUCCGCCGUCAAAUCCCAGGGCUCAACUCUGGACAGGCGGUGGAAACUACCAAGCUGGAGUACGGUAGGGGCAGAGGGAAUUUCCGGUGGAGCGGUGAAAUGCGUAGAUAUCAAGAGGAACACCUGAGGUGAAGACGGGUUGCUGGGCCGACACUGACGCUGAUGCGCGAAAGCCAGGGGAGCAAACGGG